AACGAACGCUGGCGGCAUGCCUAACACAUGCAAGUCGAACGAGACCUUCGGGUCUAGUGGCGCACGGGUGCGUAACGCGUGGGAAUCUGCCCUUGGGUUCGGAACAACAGUUGGAAACGACUGCUAAUACCGGAUGAUGACUUCGGUCCAAAGAUUUAUCGCCCAGGGAUGAGCCCGCGUAGGAUUAGCUCGUUGGUGAGGUAAAAGCUCACCAAGGCGACGAUCCUUAGCUGGUCUGAGAGGAUGAUCAGCCACACUGGGACUGAGACACGGCCCAGACUCCUACGGGAGGCAGCAGUGGGGAACAUUGGACAAUGGGCGAAAGCCUGAUCCAGCAAUGCCGCGUGAGUGAUGAAGGCCUUAGGGUUGUAAAGCUCUUUUACCCGGGAUGAUAAUGACAGUACCGGGAGAAUAAGCCCCGGCUAACUCCGUGCCAGCAGCCGCCGUAAGAC
rnacentral:rRNA from 1 species